AUUGACUCUACGGAUUCAACUGUAAAAACAGUCAAAAUUCGUACUCGUAACUCGCAGUUUCUAGCUUGUAUCUUCACUGUCCUACACACAGUGGAGCUUUUUAGCUGAAAGCAGCUGCCUACUCUGGAAAUUGUGACUGGAAACAAGAGGAUGGAAUUUGGGGGCUGAAACACCAAAACAAUGAGCUAAGAGAGUCAAAAUAGCUCUGCACAGAUAAAAAGGACCUGCAUUGUUGGAUGUUGAAGUGUCUUCCUUCACUUCAGGAGGGACUUGAUUAGUGACAUCAUUAUACUGUGGUACUUUGUUGACAUCAGUGGUGACGGUAAUACCUGCUGUUUCCAAACUCCUGACUCACCUCCUCUACUGAUGAAGAACCCAGACGUCUCCAUCCUGGAUCACAAACCUCUACAUGUCCUCUGACUUCAUGGGAUGACAGCUACACAAAGACAGAUUGGGGGUUGAUGGACAGAGAGAAAAACAAAGACAGAGUGAUGAUGGCGAUGAUGAUGAUGUUGGGAGACUCUCAGUGCGGUCAGCUGUGUCAGUAAUCCUCUAAUCCCUCUCCAAUCACCAAAUGUUUCCUCUCAUCCCCUGAACUCUGGCAGCUUGUCUUGUUUUCAUCUGCUUUCAGUCUCUGUCCCCCUCCCUCUCAUUUCCUGUUAAUACCACCAGGGAGACUUGGUGUCCUUCCAUCCGUCUGUUUCACUGACUUUAAUAUUAUAUACAGACUGUUAGCAUCUUGUUGAGUUAAUCUCCUGGCCCUGUCUUACAGAGGGGCUCCAUAUCAAAAUUUUCUUUUAAGACCAUAAUAUUUUAAUUCAUGGUGUGCCCACAUUGUCCAUUUUCACUUCAAUUCAGUGUUAUUCAGCUUUAAAAACACUAUUUAUUCCUGAGAGAGCAACUGUAUACACAAUAGCUUGGAGAAGAAAGGAAAAACACUCAAAAUCACAAAACAGUCAAAUGCUGAGAUUAAAAACUAUCAAUAACAGAGGUGAUAUUGUUCCCAACCUUGCUUAAUUAAGCAAUUAAGCAUUGCUUGAUUCUCGUGCUCUCACAAAUAAUAAAUAAAGCUACAGAUUCUUCUUCAUUCUAUUUGGGUUUUUUUUCUAUAGAUUUAUCAAUAUUCAAAUGAUUUAAUGUCAUGAAUGCAGACACUCCGACACAGUAGGUGGCGUA